UACGUAGGGCGCAAGCGUUGUCCGGAAUUAUUGGGCGUAAAGAGCUCGUAGGCGGUUUGUCACGUCUGCUGUGAAAACUGGAGGCUCAACCUCCAGCCUGCAGUGGGUACGGGCAGACUAGAGUGCGGUAGGGGAGAUUGGAAUCCUGGUGUAGCGGUGGAAUGCGCAGAUAUCAGGAGGAACACCGAUGGCGAAGGCAGAUCUCUGGGCCGUAACUGACGCUGAGGAGCGAAAGCAUGGGGAGCGAACAGG
rnacentral:rRNA from 1 species